GCCAUCAUAGCUCAGUGCCACAGCACUGGUCUUUUAAACCAGGGGUCGUGAGUUCGAUCCUCUCGGGUAGCU